rnacentral:misc_RNA from 1 species
AAAAUUACCGUCGAAACUGAAUCGUUCCAAGGUAGUUGUCGAAUUAUCAUUGGCUAAAGCUGGCGGGCGUAAUAAAGAGGAGCCGUUUGAAGGAGAAACGAAGGUACGUAAAAGCGAGAAGAAGGACGGUAUUCGAGUCUUAACAAGCACUUUCGUUCUCAUUACUAACGCGUCACGAACGUUAAACACAGCACUGAAAAUUUUCUUCCUCCGGUCCCUGCAACAGUCCAUUCGAUUCUACAACAAUCGCUAUCCCGUUAACGCUAAUUCACUUCUACAACGAGUCACGGCUCGCUGCGCGGACACAAUUACGUCCAGGACGGAAGACCCAUCGCUGAAUGCUGAAUGGCAAGAUUGUACGACCUAAAAUACGCGUCCAGAUGAAUAGGGAAUCCUCCACUCUUUAGGAAUUGAAUAAGUUUUUCAGUCCGGGAUUUAGACGUAACGAUCAU